rnacentral:rRNA from 1 species
AUGUCAGCCGCCGCGGUAAUACGUAGGAGACGAGCGUUAUCCGGAUUUACUGGGCGUAAAGAGGGCGUAGGCGGUCUUUCAAGUCGGAUGUGAAAUCUCCCGGCUUAACUGGGAGGGGUCAUUCGAUACUGUUGGGCUAGAGGGCAGCAGAGGGAGGUGGAAUUCCCGGUGUAGUGGUGAAAUGCGUAGAUAUCGGGAGGAACACCAGUGGCGAAGGCGGCCUCCUGGGCUGUUUCUGACGCUGAGGCCCAAAAGCGUGGGGAGCGAACAGGAUUAGAUACCCUGGUAGUCCACGCUGUAAACUAUGGACACUAGGUAUGGGGAGUAUCGACCCUCUCCGUGCCGAAGCUAACGCUUUAAGUGUCCCGCCUGGGGACUACGGCCGCAAGGCUAAAACUCAAAUGAAUUGACGGGG